rnacentral:tRNA from 1 species
CAGAGGGUAGUUUAUAAUUAUAAAAUAUUAAUUUUGGGGAUUAAUGAUAAGAUUUUUCUUUCCUCUGA